GCUCAAAUAAAGUGGCUAGCCACAGCGCUCGCAAACAUGAAAAUGGCGGGAAAAGAGGAGUUCCAGUCCAAGCAGAGCUCAACGCAUUCAUCUUUGUCUUCGUCUUCUCUAUCCGGAGAACGAAUCGGAAUCGGUGAGGAGGAGGCAUGCUGGAGAAAGCAAGUGGACCAGAACCUGAAGAGGCUCCAAUCCCUCCUCUUCGGCGCCGAUCUCGCACUCGAAAAGCGCGAUUACUCUGCGGCUCAAAUUCUUGGCCUCCGUCUUCUCGGCUUUCUUGACUCCCAGACACAUACCGAUGUCGAUCAAGCUUUUAUUCAGCCCAUUAGGCGCGAAGCUGUUGAGAAAAUUGACGUCGCUCGCCGAUCCCUCAUGCCGGAAUCUGAUCGACAAGUAUUUGAACAAGCAAAGAAAGCUCCAGAAUGUGUUUUUAGCAUGAGCAAAGAAAUAGAUUUCAGCAAGAUUAAGCAGUCAAAGUACUUUCAGGCACUUCAGUCGUCUAAUGGAAGGGUUGUUAAUGAAUUGGAUCAGCUAGAGAGGCCGGAUAAGUUGAGUACCAAGGCACCAAAAAUCAAUGCAGAAGCGAAGGUUACGUCUUUGUAUAGAAAAGAUCAUAGUAGGACAAGUCCUAGUCUGUACAGGAGCUCUUUGCGCUCAAGUAAUGGCCUUGACGACUGUGUUAUUCUAGAAAAGGAUCAUUCAUUACAUGAUCAUACAAAAGCCCAAGGUGCAUCUUUAAUAAAACUUGAAGAGGAAGGUCGACCUUAUGGAAACACAGGUGCUACAAGACGUUCUCGGAUGGAAAUAAGCAGUCCUAAGGUAGACAAUGCCAACUCACCAUUGAGUACCGAAGAAGCCAAUGCUGAUAUUUCUGGCAAUGCAUUUGUCACAGCAAGAACAAAGCUGGAAAUGGAUGCAAGGCAAAGACGAGGACUUGCAGGAUCACCAAAUACUUCUGUCUCCCCUCAAAGUGACCAUAACGUUUCCAAUAAAGGAUAUGGCAUGCGAUCAUAUGGUUCUUCUUCACGUCGUGGAGUGCGUGGAAAUUUUGUACCUCCUAUAAGGUCUAAUGGGGGGACUGCUGGGAACAUGAUAAAUUCACGAAUUGGUGGAAAAGGUGAAGAUUCUUUGGAUGACUCAACAAAGAGAUGUAUGGAAAUGUUAUGCGGUCCUGAUGGUGAGCUUCCUGAAAAAUUAAGGAAUUUGGAGCCUCGACUUAUAGAACAUGUUAGCAAUGAGAUUAUGGACAGAGAUCCUAAUGUUCGGUGGGAUGACAUAGCUGGUCUUGAACAUGCAAAGAAGUGUGUGACUGAAAUGGUAAUAUGGCCUUUAUUACGUCCGGACAUUUUCAAGGGUUGUCGUUCUCCUGGAAGAGGUCUCCUUCUUUUUGGUCCACCGGGAACAGGUAAAACAAUGAUUGGAAAAGCAAUCGCUGGAGAGGCAAAAGCAACUUUCUUUUAUAUAUCUGCCAGCUCGUUAACUAGCAAGUGGAUUGGUGAGGGUGAAAAGCUAGUGAGAGCCCUCUUUGGGGUUGCCAGUUGUCGUCAGCCAGCUGUCAUCUUUGUUGAUGAAAUUGAUUCACUUCUGUCUCAGCGUAAGUCAGAUGGUGAACAUGAAUCAAGUAGACGACUCAAAACACAGUUCCUUAUUGAAAUGGAGGGCUUUGACAAUGGCAGUGAGCAGAUUCUUCUUAUAGGAGCGACUAAUCGGCCGCAAGAACUUGAUGAAGCUGCAAGGAGACGACUUACCAAGAGACUUUACAUUCCCCUCCCUUCUUCAGAAGCCAGAGCAUGGAUUGUCCGCAAUCUCCUGGAGAAGGAUGGAUUAUUCAAGCUUUCAAAAGAGGAAAUUGAUACGAUAUGCACUUUAACAGAAGGAUAUUCGGGUUCAGACAUGAAAAACCUUGUGAAAGACGCAUCAAUGGGCCCUUUAAGGGAGGCUCUGAAACAAGGCACAGACAUUACAUUGCUAAAAAAGGAGGAUAUGCGGCCUGUAACCCUAAAGUUAUGUAGGACUUUGAGAGCGCAUUGCAAGAGGUCAGGCCCUCCGUCUCUUUGAACGAACUUGGCACAUAUGAUGAAUGGAACAAGCAAUUUGGGAGCCUGUCACUUUGAAUCUUUAUAUUUGACAUAGAAGGAAGGUAAGCUGACAAGCUGAGCAUGGACUAAUUGUUUAGCGGCAUUUAGAUCAAGUGUCGUUAUAAUCUGUCUGUCUUGAGAUCUGAAAUUUAUUUCAUUUAAGAGGAUUUUUCACGUAAAUACAGAACAAUACCGAAGCUCAAGCAAUUAAACUAUGGGAUUUCAAUCUUUCUAUGGAUUCGAGUUCGAGUUGUGCUAUAGAGAAGUUGUCUCUGAUCCUCCCUUCCGAGAUCUAUUAUGGCAAGUUUGUUCUGUGGAAUAUUUGAUGGGAAAGUAAUGGGAAACAAAAAUAAAAUAAAAAAUUCAAUGUAUUGAAUGUAUGUGGGAGGAGGAUUGAGAUAUCAUUUUAACGCCAUACUUUUAAGCGCCUUUUUUCUUUUAGUUAAUUCUUUAUUUUUGAUUACCAAUAGCUUGGAUUACGCUUUGUUAUUUUUUACUUGUAGUCCCACGUUGGUAUGAUUUUAAGA